ACGUGCAUGGGAUAUUGGUACGAUUCAAUCAGAAAACCGAGUUCUCAUAUUAGAGAUCGCGGUGUAUUUGAUUGAGCCGCGCCAAUAUCCCGUGUGAGAUG
rfam:Spinacia oleracea cultivar SynViroflay scaffold84586.1, whole genome shotgun sequence.